rnacentral:rRNA from 1 species
UACGUAGGGUGCGAGCGUUGUCCGGAAUUAUUGGGCGUAAAGGGCUCGUAGGCGGUUUGUCGCGUCGGGAGUGAAAACUCAGGGCUUAACCCUGAGCCUGCUUCCGAUACGGGCAGACUAGAGGUAUGCAGGGGAGAACGGAAUUCCUGGUGUAGCGGUGAAAUGCGCAGAUAUCAGGAGGAACACCGGUGGCGAAGGCGGUUCUCUGGGCAGUAACUGACGCUGAGGAGCGAAAGCGUGGGGAGCAAACAGG